CUUAAUCUUUAAAAAGUGAUCAAUUAGUCUAGCCUACAUCGCUUCUUAUUGGCAAUGCAUGCUACCAGGUGGCUGCUUUUGAAUCUUUAAAAAAAAUUAAAGAAAAUGUCUGAAAGGCAAGGUAAAGAGUAUAAUGAGAUAUGCUAACUUCUUACAAAAUUCUGAAUAAACUCAUGAAACUCCUAAAAUGUUAAUUAGUCCUCUUGUGCUGUAUGCUUAUCACACCUGUUUAGUUAUGCCACCACAGACAUGUUCCCUGGAAUUCUUAUUCUAGUCUGUGACUUCUAGUUAAUGAUGUCAUAAGCCUUUCUCAGUACAUAGUGGCACCAAAAUUCUCUUGUCACUUGGUACAUAGUUCAUAGGGAUGGGAGCACAGAGAAUCAGGUUAGUGGGCCUGGAUUUUAGUUCUGAACUUGUACUAGUUCAUGCAUUUCUAAAACUGUACUUAAAGAAACACAUGCAUGCCCAGGCCCACCCUUAGCCAUUUUUAUAUAGUCAGACUUGAGUGAAGCAAAAAUACCUGUGAUUUUCACAAAGUGUUUCUGAAGCACAGCUCUGCUCAGAGCCCUUGCUUUACAGGUUCCAAUAGUGUCAAAUCUAUGUCACUUAGCCUGAAUCCUCUGGAAAGCCGAGCCUGAAGCAAUGAUUAUGAUUCUAAUAGUUUAUUUUCCAGAUACAAUCACAUCACAGGAUGUUGAGGUAAGGAACAGAUGUAAUCUCUUGCAACACAGUGUGCUACCAUGCUGGCUACUGCAUCACAGCCAUAACACAACAUAUCAGAUAAUUCAGCAGGCUUGUUCAGUCAGCAGGAAGGAAUUAUCUAGAAGGCUUGAAAGGAAGCACUGUACCUGGGAGUAGUAUGCAGGGGAGAGAAAGGAGAAAUAAUUGCCUGCUUGCUUUCUCUCUGUCUCCCUUUUCCCACUGGUCAAAAUUCACUCUGGGUAGAACUACCUCUUUCACAUUUCUAGUUGCUUCAUCUGGUCCUUGAGUAACUGUGCAGGAAUGCAAAUUUUAUGUCCUGUAGGGUGAUGCUUCAUUUAAUUCCAAAGGUAGGGUUGAUUUGGCAACAUAUGGGGUUCUGACUAAGAAAGAGAGGAAGAAAGUAGCUAAAGUUUAUGUCCUUCAAUGCAAUAUUGUCACUGAAGGUGAAGGAGAGAUUAUUGAGGGGUUAUUUCAGCAUGUCAAAAAGAUAAAGUUGGAUUUAAAGAGGGCAUAUAAGAUUGAGGAAAGACAGGAGCCACACAGAAUACAUUGGGAAAAUAAAAAUUAGUGUUAAAUAUUGUUGAUUGGCACUUGACAUCUCUUUCCACCUUUCUAUAUUCUAACCUGCAUCCCAGGAGUUGGAAGGCAAAGAGCUACAUUUACAAGACUCUCUUGCUGCUAGGUUUCUGGCUGCAAUUCAGAUUUUGCCAAUAGGUUGCACUUGUGCAUAGUAUGUGGUAGAGAGCCCCUUUUUAUGUGGCUGUGGUACCACCACCAAGUUUCUGUAGAUGUGUGUACUGGCGACAACAGUAAUUUCUUCACCUAUGGAUUUCAGCUGUAGUGGAGUGACUUUAAAAGCAAGAGUUGGCCAAGUGUGGUGGCUCAUACCUGUAAUCCCAGCACUUUGGGAGCCCAAGGGGGAAGAUAGUUUGAGCCCAGGAGUUUGAGACCAGCUUGGGCAACAUAGUGAGACCCUAUCUAUAAAAAAGUUUAAAAAAUUAGCUGGGCGUGGUGGCACAUGCCUGUAGUCCCAGCUACUCUGGAGGCUGAGGCAGGAGGAUCACUUGAGCCUGGUAGGUUAAGGACGAGGGGAGCCAUGAUUGUUCCAUUGCACUCUAGCCUGAAUGACAGAGUGAGACCUUGUCCCUCAAAAAAAACCAAAAAAAAAAACAAAAAAACCAAGAGUCCAGUAGGGCCCUCUGACUUUUCCUCCUUUAGCUCUUCCAACCAUUUUGUAAGCACCCUCUUUCUGCAUUAAAACUCUUUAUGAGUCAUAUCCCUGGAGCAGUUUGGGUUUCCCGUAAAUGCAGUAAGACAGCAGAAGCACUGAAAAAGAAGUAGAGCUUGUGGGAUCUUGAUACACAGACCCUCAUGCUCAGCUCCUCAUCUGCAUUCAUCGUCAGCCCAGGAAUGGAAAGGGUCUUUGAGAUAUUCCCACACUGUCUUCCACAAUGGUUGACCUAAUUUACACUCCUACCAACAAGUGGCUUUUAACAGAUUAAACACCGAAUCUGUGAGCUGAUCUUUAGGAGCUGUGAAAGUUGGUGAGAUCGGGAAGGGAAUGGUAAGAGAGGAGACCCCAUCCAACCCUUCAACAAUAUGAGAGAGAUGAAGACAAUCUCCAAGAACUGAGGGAGUGACAGCAGCAUUAAGAAGAGCCCACUGCAUUCCUGAAGUCUGUACCGUGGCAGAAAGAAGGAUGAACACUGGAAAUGAACCUGAGCUUGAGACAGGCCAGCAUGAACAAUAGAAAGCCUGCAUGAUUCUGGCAUCUCAUUUCCGUGGGUCGGCUUCCCUAGGAUGUUCCUGCUUUUCUCAGAUGCUUCCCUUCUUCAAUAAGAUGUCCAAGAUUUUCACAGUGGCUCUCUUUUGACUUGACAAGAUGUUGGUACUGAAGAAACCGAAGUCUCAGUUCUUCACAUGUAGUGAGUCAGGAUGCAUAGUGUUUACGAGCAGGGGAGACUUCUUUGAGCCUUAGUUUUUUGUCUAUAAAGGGUAAAUACUAUCUCCCUAAUAAUGUCUACCAGAAAUCAAAUUUAAUAAUUCAUGACAGACACUUUGCACCUUAGCUGCUCCUCCUUGUAUUGCUGUUUAUCUACUCUACCACAUUUCUUGUAUUCUUAGUUGGUUUGUAAUAUUGUUAAAUACCAAGACCAUGUCUUAAAUCUCCUGUAGCUCUAGUGUCUAGUUCUAAGCACUGUAGAUACUGGGACUCAGUAAAUCUCUUUUUAUGAAUGUUGUGUGCCCUUGCCUGGUGAAAAAUAAUAGCUUAAAACUUAUAAGAGAACUUACUAUAUGCUACGUCUUAAGUGAUUUACUUAGAUCAAAUCAGGUACUUUUAAAACUCUAAACGAAAUUGAUCAUUGCCAUUUUACAGACAAGGAAACAAAGACCCAGAGUUGAAGUAGUUUCACCAUGUUGUCCAACCAGGAUUUGAACACAGGCAGUUUGGCUCUAGAGACCACUCCUUUUAUCACAAUGCUCUAUUGAGAAACACUUGGGAUCCCUCACUAGAUCAAUCACUUCCCUCAUUUAGGGAAAGAAGAGAAAAUAUUCAUGUCUGUACAAAAUGGGCAAGUGGCGACCACUACUUCUGAGACUGAGGUGAUUUUUGUAUGUGUUUUAUGCCCAGUACAAGAGCAUGUUCUUCCUUUUCCAGGAAAGUAUGAGAAGUAAUCUCAGAGUGCAGAGAACAACUUCAGGAGCAAGAGUGUAGGUCAGAUGCUGCUGCUCUAGCAGUUAACUCUUGUUCAAGAAUGCUCUUUUUGCUUCACUGAGAAAGUUCCAUGAAGAAACAUCCUGGCUCUAUACAACUAAACAGUAAUAACAAUUACAGCAGUAACGUAAUCAUACUGAAAACGUGGAUCCACCUGUAUGUCAUCACUGUUCAACUAAUGUGUUUUUUAAUGGAGGGAGCUUACUGACGUCAUAUACACAUGAAGAUUUAUUUGAAAUGAUGAAUUUUCCCCAGAAGGCACUUCAACUAUGCUGGGCAGAAAGUGGUGCCGUAAUGCAAAUACCAUAGGCCAUAGGGACAGACAGACUUGUGUUUAAGCCUAGCUAUACUAUAUAGUCACUACAUGAAUUUGGUCAAGUUGCUUAACUUCACUUAGCCAUAGCAGAUAAUAAUGAAAGACUCAGAGGGUUAUUAUGAAGGUCACAGUUUGAAUUCCAAAUGGUGUAUAAGAAAAACAAGAAUUAUUCAGCUGCCCCAAAGUGAGCUCUGUUUGCUUUAGCAGUAUGGCUAUCCCUGGUUACCCAGAUUCAGCAGACAAUUACACAAUUACAUAUUUCCUUUUGGCUUCACAAACCUGAGCUUAGAUUUCUUUCAGGUUCUUAGAAAAUUCAAAUAGCAACAAUAAUUCCUUGUCUUGGGUACUGAAACAUAGCACCUUAGCUCCGGGUGCUAAGAAAUCCACUCACAUGCUAUUCUGUGAAUCAUCAUAAUUAUAUUAAGCAGAAUAGAAAAAUAUGAUUAUGUUGAGUCAGUGGCUUCGUAAGAAGUUGUGGGUUCUAUGCACAUGCUAUUCUAUUAAUCAUCAUGAUUAUCUUAUAUGAAGCAGAAUAGAAAAAUAUGAUUAUGUUGAGUCAAUGGCUUAAUAAGUUGUUGGGUUCUAAUGUUAAUCUGAAAUAUGCCCCAUGUAUCCUACAUGCUGACGUAAAUGUUAGAUGAAUGGAUUAAUAUGUAAUCAAUGAAGUUACAGCAGUUGUUUGGCUUCUCAGUAUUGAUGUGUUCCACACAGCUGUGUGACCAACCAUCCUAGUUUCCUGAGAACUAGGACUUUCAGUGCUAAGAUCAGGAACGUCUUUCACACACUGAGGCAAGUUAGUUACCCUACACACAGAGGUAAGUGGGAUCUGUAUUAAAAUCAGUUAUACAAAUUUAUCUUCUGUUCAUUAAACUAUUAGAAUUUAAAAUAAACAUCUUUAUUAAGUUGCUCCUAAAUGAAGUGACUGCAUUUUAUUUUCAAAUUAAAUUCUUAAGACUUUAUAUUAUACGGACCUUUAUAUCAAGGUAGAUAUAAAUUAACUCUCAAUUCACAUUGAGAGUCAGAAUAGAUGCAUCUUUUAUUAAAAUUACCUAAAGAGAAAAUUGUAGCUUUGAAUGGUUCAAUACCUAAUCAGAAGAUAUUUUUUCAGAUUUUAUAAUUGGAUUUCUUUCCAGAUUUGUCUGCAUCCUGAAAAUGGCCACCUUUGCACAUUAGUCUAUAAUAUUAUAUUAAUGUAUGAUUUUCAGCUGGAGUCCCUUUCUGGAAGAUUUUGAGCCAAAUCUAAAUUUUAGAGAAAUUUUAGAAAAACCCAUGUAAAAAAAGAUAUACCUUUCAUAAAACUUCCAUAAUUAUCAAAAUUAAGAAAAAUUAGAAAAUCUCAGAAAGACAAUGAGAUUCCCAGCACAAAAGUCAUUUUUUUCCCCCAGGAGUGAAUGGGUAGUAUAAUCCUCAUUUUGUGAUAAAAGUGCACAAAGAAUCAAGGAUUGGUGCAAAAUCACUUUUUUUUUUUCAAGUGGGUCUUUGAAGCUUCUAGUGUGCCUCUGCUACUCUUGGCAAAUUCAGUUCCAAAUUAUCAUCUCCUAAGCUUCAUCAUAGUACUUCUCUCUUCUGCUUACCCAAAGGAAAAUUGUUUCUCAGGAGACAGCUCAAUAUUAGUUUACAUUGCUAUGUAAUAAUGUAGAACUUAAAUAACUAUCCAUAUGCCAGACAAUGACGAAUGUCUUGGUCUAAGAAACAACCUUCUAAGGUGCAAUUCCAGAUACUAGGAAUUCCAAGCAGUAGGAGUGAGAUGAUGAACUUCACUGUUGUUAAGUUAUUCCAUAGGAUAAUCAUUUUCCUGAGUUAAAAUCUAAGAGACAUUGCUUGAUCAUGACUAAAGAUCUAUGUCUGAGGCCAGGUAUAACUUGUGACUGUUUAUCAACUACUUAUUAACUUUACUUUCUUAAGUUUGAUUUGCAGGGCUGGGCAUGGUGGCUCACACCUCUAAUCCCAGCAGUUUUGGAAGUCUGAGAUGGGCAGAUCACCUGAGGUCAGGAGUUUGAAAUCGGCUUGACCAACAUAGUGAAACCCUAUCUCUACAAAAAAUACAAAAAUUAGUCGAGUGUGGUGGAGGGAGCCUGUAGUCCCAGCUACUCAGGAGGCUGAGGCAAGAGAAUCACUUGAACCUGGGAGGCAGAGGUUGCAGUAAGCCAUGAUGAAUUAAGCCACUGCACUCUAGCCUGAGCAACAGAGCAAGACUCUGUCUCAAAAUAAAUAAAUAAAUAAAUAAAAGUAAAUUAAAAAAUAAAAAGCUUUGAUUUGCAAGUAUAUGAAAUACAUUGCCACCUUGGAUUCCUAGGGACCAGACUAAUUUUUACACUUAAUUUUUCUAGGUUGACUAAAAAUGCACAUAUCCAUGGCUGAGACAAGAAUCUGUAACUGACAAAGCAGAGAAUAAUAGCACCCGGGAAUGUGUUGGUGGGAAGUUUUAGUUCUUACAUGUUGCCAUAAACCCCCAGGAGCUGUGUUGCAGCCCCUGCUUUUUCCCUGUGCAUAGAAGCACAGCUGUGUCUAGAUAACAGAUAGAAAUCUCUUGUUUUUGGGAAGGUAAGCCCCUCAGUCAUCUCUAUGGCAUAAUUCCUGAUCAAGCUGGGCCAGUCAUGGCAAUUCUAGCCCACUUUGCUUCUGAUUGGCCUACAGGUGGAUAUGACCCAGUUCUGGUCAAUGAGACGUAAAAAGGAAGUAUUACAGGGAUUCUUAGGACAGAUUUUCUCCUCAAUUAAAAAAACAAAAAAGUUAAUGCCUCAAAGAAGGUUCUUUCCUUCCUAAUUGAAUACUAUUGUAUAAGAUUGUGAUAUUUGGUGCUUCGACAGAUACCUUGAGACCAUAAGCUAGCAUACCUAAGGACAAAAAUAUAAUACUUUAAGGCUGAUAGAGCAGAUGAUACUGUUGAAUUUCUCUAUCAAAUAUAGAAAGAUUUGCCCCUUGAUUUCUUAUUUUUUAAGGUGAUUAAAGUCUUUAUUGUCUAACAUCUAGCCAAAUAUUCUGUUACUUGUAGCCAAAAGCAUUCCUAGGUAUAAGUUCAUAAAAAUAAAAUAAUAUUUUAAUAUGACUUAUAGUAUUUUAAAAUAUUAUACAAAAUAUUAAUAAAA
rnacentral:lncRNA from 1 species